GAGGGUGUAGCUCAAGUGGCAGAGCACACGCUUAGCAUGCGUGAGGCCAUCGGUUCAAUCCCCAGUACCUCCC
rnacentral:tRNA from 1 species